GGUUAAGCGACUAAGCGUACACGGUGGAUGCCCUGGCAGUCAGAGGCGAUGAAGGACGUGCUAAUCUGCGAAAAGCGUCGGUAAGGUGAUAUGAACCGUUAUAACCGGCGAUGUCCGAAUGGGGAAACCCAGUGCAAUUCGUUGCACUAUCGUUAACUGAAUACAUAGGUUAACGAGGCGAACCGGGGGAACUGAAACAUCUAAGUACCCCGAGGAAAAGAAAUCAACCGAGAUUCCCCCAGUAGCGGCGAGCGAACGGGGAGCAGCCCAGAGUCUGAAUCAGCUUGUGUGUUAGUGGAACGGUCUGGAAAGUCCGACGGUACAGGGUGAUAGUCCCGUACACUAAAAUGCACAGGCUGUGAACUCGAAGAGUAGGGCGGGACACGUGGUAUCCUGUCUGAAUAUGGGGGGACCAUCCUCCAAGGCUAAAUACUCCUGACUGACCGAUAGUGAACCAGUACCGUGAGGGAAAGGCGAAAAGAACCCCGGCGAGGGGAGUGAAAAAGAACCUGAAACCGUGUACGUACAAGCAGUGGGAGCACCUUCGGGUGUGACUGCGUACCUUUUGUAUAAUGGGUCAGCGACUUAUAUUCUGUAGCAAGGUUAACCGUAUAGGGGAGCCGCAGGGAAACCGAGUCUUAACUGGGCGUUAAGUUGCAGGGUAUAGACCCGAAACCCGGUGAUCUAGCCAUGGGCAGGUUGAAGGUUGGGUAACACUAACUGGAGGACCGAACCGACUAAUGUUGAAAAAUUAGCGGAUGACUUGUGGCUGGGGGUGAAAGGCCAAUCAAACCGGGAGAUAGCUGGUUCUCCCCGAAAGCUAUUUAGGUAGCGCCUCGUGAA
rnacentral:rRNA from 1 species